GAUCAUGGCUCAGGAUGAACGCUGACAGAAUGCUUAACACAUGCAAGUCGAUGGGGAAGUGGUGCUUGCACCAUGGUAACCAUGGCGGACGGGUGAGUAACGCGUAAGGGACUUACCUGCAGGACUGGGAUAACAGGGGGAAACUCCUGACAAGACCGGAUAAUGUCAUGGAGCUGCAUGGCUUUAUGAUGAAAGGAGACGCUUGCGGAGAGCCUUGCGUCCUAUUAG
rnacentral:rRNA from 1 species